UGAAAUGGAAUCUGAAUACAAACCCAAAC
rnacentral:sRNA from 1 species